AUUAAACGCUGGCGGCAUGCCUUACACAUGCAAGUCGAACGGCAGCACGGGGGCAACCCUGGUGGCGAGUGGCGGACGGGUGAGUAAAGCAUCGGAACGUAUCCUGGAGUGGGGGGAUAACGUAGCGAAAGUUACGCUAAUACCGCAUAUUCUGUGAGCAGGAAAGCAGGGGAUCGCAAGACCUUGCGCUCUGGGAGCGGCCGAUGUCGGAUUAGCUAGUUGGUGGGGUAAAGGCCUACCAAGGCGACGAUCCGUAGCGGGUCUGAGAGGAUGAUCCGCCACACUGGGACUGAGACACGGCCCAGACUCCUACGGGAGGCAGCAGUGGGGAAUUUUGGACAAUGGGCGCAAGCCUGAUCCAGCCAUGCCGCGUGAGUGAAGAAGGCCUCGGUUGGUAAGUACGUCUUUUACCGGUCGGGGGUAACGGAAAAG
rnacentral:rRNA from 1 species